rnacentral:lncRNA from 1 species
AAAAAGUGAUAAUUGUGUUACUAUAAUUUUUGAGCAGCUUCUUAUUCCAGAAAUCGAUAUGUUUGCCACAUAU